GGUGUGGCCUUGUUGGAGAAAGUGUGUCACUGGGGGUGGGCUUUGAGGUCUCAGAUGCUCAAGCCAGGCCCAGUGUCAUCCUCUCUUGCUGCUGCCUGUGGGUC
rnacentral:miRNA from 1 species